rnacentral:rRNA from 1 species
AACCCUGAUCCAGCCAUGCCGCGUGAGUGAAGAAGGCCUUCGGGUUGUAAAGCUCUUUCGGACGGAAAGAAAUCGCCGCCUCUAACAUAGGCGGUGGAUGACGGUAUCUUAGGAAUAAGCACCGGCUAACUCCGUGCCAGCAGCCGCGGUAAUACGGAGGGUGCAAGCGUUACUCGGAAUCACUGGGCGUAAAGAGCACGUAGGCGGCCUUGCAAGUCAGAUGUGAAAUCCAACGGCUUAACCGUUGAACUGCAUUUGAAACUGCAAGGCUAGAGUAUGGGAGAGGUAGGUGGAAUUCUCGGUGUAGGGGUAAAAUCCGUAGAGAUCGAGAGGAAUACUCAUUGCGAAGGCGACCUGCUGGAACAUUACUGACGCUGAGAUGCGAAAGCGUGGGGAGCAAACA